UACGAAGGGGGCUAGCGUUGUUCGGAAUUACUGGGCGUAAAGCGCACGUAGGCGGACUGUUAAGUCGGGGGUGAAAUCCUGGAGCUCAACUCCAGAACUGCCUUCGAUACUGGAAAGCUCGAGUCCGGGAGAGGUGAGUGGAACUGCGAGUGUAGAGGUGAAAUUCGUAGAUAUUCGCAAGAACACCAGUGGCGAAGGCGGCUCACUGGCCCGGUACUGACGCUGAGGUGCGAAAGCGUGGGGAGCGAACAGG
rnacentral:rRNA from 1 species